UUUCUAUCAUCAGUCAACCGUAAAAAUGUGCUGUCACUUUGUGACGGCGUCCUUAAACCUAACUUUAAAUUUUCACAACUUACAGCGAUGGAUGACUUGACUCUUACAUCGAUGAGGAACACAGCGAACUGUGAUACAUUCGGUGAGUUGCGGAGUUUGUGAACCCUCAUUUUCUAACGCACAUUGCGCAACUCUUCGGAGUUGCAUUGUUCAUUGAGUGUGAUUUUUUCAGGAUUAACAUCUUGUGCAAGGGCGUAUGCGUGCAAACGUGUUGCCUUAGGAAUUUACAACUCGUCAUUUCGAAAGUCUCUUUGGAAACGACACUACACCUCUUACCUCAAUGAACAAAGACUACCCCCUGAAUUUAAGCAUAUAAUUAAGGGGAGGAAAAGAAACUAACAAGUAUUUUCUCAGUAACGGCGAGUGAACAGAAAAAAGCCCAGAUUUGAAAUCCGAAAGGAAUUGUAAUCUUAGAAGCAUUGGUCUCUAACACGCUACUCUACUUUCUCUGGAAUGGGAAACUGCUAAGGGUGAAAGUCCCUAGAGAGUAGUACGUUAGUUUACACCAUUACUUCAACGAGUCGAGUUGCUUGGGACUGCAUCUCUAAACGGAGGUAAACUCCUUCGAAGGCUAAAUAUUAGUAAGAGAUCAAUAGCAAACAAGUACCGUGAGGGAAAGUUGAAAAGCACUUUGAAAAGAGAGUGAAAUAGUACCUGAAAUCGCUGUAAGGUAAAGGAUCCCCUGUGCAAAGCUGUUCAUAUGUAUUUUGUAAUACGUUUACAAUUGAAUAUGUAGGCUACUCCAGGUUCAUGUUUACGUGACAAUUGGCUAUGGAUUUUGGUAGAAUACUUGUAUUCGAAUAAAUCCAUUUGCUUGAUCGUAAGUAUGUAAUGU
rnacentral:rRNA from 1 species